AGCAACGUAGGUCGCCGACGAACGCAC
rnacentral:sRNA from 1 species